UCCAGACUCCUACGGGAGGCAGCAGUGGGGAAUAUUGCACAAUGGGGGAAACCCUGAUGCAGCGACGCCGCGUGAGUGAAGAAGUAUUUCGGUAUGUAAAGCUCUAUCAGCAGGGAAGAAAAUGACGGUACCUGACUAAGAAGCCCCGGCUAACUACGUGCCAGCAGCCGCGGUAAUACGUAGGGGGCAAGCGUUAUCCGGAUUUACUGGGUGUAAAGGGAGCGUAGGUGGCAUGGUAAGCCAGAAGUGAAAACCCGGGGCUCAACCCCGCGGAUUGCUUUUGGAACUAUCAGGCUGGAGUGCUGGAGGGGUAAGCGGAAUUCCUAGUGUAGCGGUGAAAUGCGUAGAUAUACGGAGGAACACCAGUGGCGAAGGCGGAUUGCUGGACAGUAACUGACGCUGAGGCGCGAAAGCGUGGGGAGCAAACAGGAUUAGAUACCCUGGUAG
rnacentral:rRNA from 1 species